AAAUUAGAGGCCUCCCAGAGAGUGGCAAUAACCUGAUGCUCAAUGGAUGUUUCUUGGAUUCUCAGUCACGGAGCACACCAAGUUGCCUUGGUCAAGGUGUUUCAUCACAGCAACAGAAAACUCAUCCGGGUGUUUUGGACAUUGUUGCUGGGAAGGUGGUUUGUGGAUGCCACCAGGAGGCCUUCGGCACAGGAGACCACCUGCACUGCAUGGAUAGACCCUUUGGCUCGGUCCUGUGGAGGACUCUGACUGGCGGAACCUGAACCUAUGCCCCUUCCCCAGGCUGAUUCUGGGGUGGCGCCAUCACAUUUCCUUCGGAGAACAGACUCGGCUGCAGAAUGACCUGGAAGAGGCCGUGACUCUGAUUGUUUCGAGCGGGCUCUUGAGAGGAAACCUGUUUGCUCUGCGGCUUCCGGGGAGGCUCUUUGUGGAUGCUGGUUAAUGAAGCAGAUUGUUUUUUUGCCUCUUAAGUAUCCUCUAAUUAAUUUCGCAAUGAACACUUGCGGCCUCCUGAUACCGUAGAGCUGAGUGGAGAGCUUGGGAGCUAAUGAGAGUUGGACACAAAGUGGGUAAAGGUCUGUGCUGAGCCAGUGAGGUCGGGGCUCCCUUUCCUGUGCAUUUUACCCCGAGCUGAGGCCCUUGCUACCUGCCUUCUUUGGCUCCUGGGCACCCAGCCCUUCCACUCUCCACAGCAGCUUCCUUGGACGGUCUCUCUCUCGCUGGAGCAGGCAGGUUACGUUCACACUCCCUGCCUUGUGGUUGGUCGCUUCCUGUUCUCAGAUCCUCGACCUUGCUCUGCAUGGAACAAUAGAUUCCUCCCGAGGAUAGCGCCUGACCGCAGCCCCCUGAGUCGUGGGGAGUGACAGAAUGAACCCCUCUCCACUGCUGACCCACUCACCAAAGGAACCUGCGGCUGGAUUUGAGUUUGGAAAAGCUAAUGACAUUCGUAAUCACCACCGGCAACACAUUUACGACUCAAUGUAACCAGUCUCCUUGCUCCUGAUGCCACGCCCUCCCCUGCCACGCCCCCUGCCACGCCCUUCCUGCUGCCAGGCCUUCCCGGAUGCCACGCCCUCCCUGUAACAUGCGCUGUAACCUCAAACUGGGAGCCACAACAAGCCCUUUCUAAGUUGCCUCUGAGAGACAUUUUGGUCAUAGCAAUGAGAAAAGAAAGUAACUGAAAACCAGUAUAAGAGUGAGGCCAUUGCUGCUGACCAACCUGACCUUUGGAACUGUGCUGUGGGAGGAAAGCAGUUCGUACUGGGCUCUGUUCUGUCUGACUGGUCUAGGCAUGUGUUUUGGGGCCCCAACAUGCUUCCUGUGUACCAGCUGCCACAUUUCACAAAACUGUCAGUCAUGGUCCUCAUUCCUUCUUACCCAUAGGGAAGCUAAGGCUUGGUGGGGGGGUGUUUGCUCUGUGUGCUUAAU